rnacentral:snoRNA from 1 species
ACGACCUUACUUGAACAGGAUCUGUUCUAUAGGCUCGUACCGCUGCAUCCUUUACCAAUAAGGAGGCAAGCACUUUAGUCUGGUUGAUGCAUUCUGACCUCUGGGCCAGAGCGUGAUUAACGGCCUGGAUGCUCUUGAUGUGAGCUAUCCAACGGCUGUAGAGGUUGUCUGACAGACA